rnacentral:rRNA from 1 species
ACUCCUACGGGAGGCAGCAGUGGGGAAUAUUGGACAAUGGGCGCAAGCCUGAUCCAGCCAUGCCGCGUGUGUGAAGAAGGCCUUUUGGUUGUAAAGCACUUUAAGCGAGGAGGAGGCUUACCUGGUUAAUACCUGGGAUAAGUGGACGUUACUCGCAGAAUAAGCACCGGCUAACUCUGUGCCAGCAGCCGCGGUAAUACAGAGGGUGCGAGCGUUAAUCGGAAUUACUGGGCGUAAAGCGCGCGUAGGCGGUUUGUUAAGUCGGAUGUGAAAUCCCCGGGCUCAACCUGGGAAUUGCAUUCGAUACUGGCAAGCUAGAGUAUGGGAGAGGAAGGUAGAAUUCCAGGUGUAGCGGUGAAAUGCGUAGAGAUCUGGAGGAAUACCGAUGGCGAAGGCAGCCUUCUGGCCUAAUACUGACGCUGAGGUGCGAAAGCAUGGGGAGCAAACAGGAUUAGAUACCCUGGUAGGCUCUG